UUAGAGAAUUGAAAUUUAUUGCAGUAUCUACUGUAAAGUCUUACAAUAGCCAACAUUAAUCUCCACCAUUGGUUCUUAAUAUAAAGCACUCAAUUCUAUAAACACAGUUAAGAGCCUGGAUUUCUCUUGUUACCUAGUCAAUACUUUCAACUUUCCUGUAUUUCAGAUUCUUUUACAAACUCCAAUACCAUGGAAGCAACCAUAAAGGAACAUGCCCUCCGGAUAACUCCAGAAUCUUUUUCUGCAACUCCAGCAACAGUGAAGUUGGAGGACAACAUGCAUCCGAUGUUUCCGUCCAGUGCGCUGCCCCAAGUGUUUGUUGAGCAGAAGCAUGAAAUGUAAAGCCUACAAAUAAAAUCAAAUAUGUUCUUACAAGCAACUUUGAUCUCUCAGAGAAGUACAUUAGAUUCCAGAUUGUUUGCACAAUGAUCUGCCUGGACAAAGCACACUAGACCUGAAUGAAGUGGCUCCACCAACAAACUUAUCAGAACUAGCAGUCUUCAAAAUAAAAAAAAUUGCUUGCACCAGCA